AGCGGGGCUUCGGCCCCGUGGAAACUGGCGCACGGGUGAGGAACGCGUGGGAAUCUACCCCGGGGUGGGGAAUAACCGCUGGAAACGGCGGCUAAUACCGCAUACGCCUUGCGAGGGAAAGCUUUAGCGCCCUGGGAUGAGCCCGCGUCGGAUUAGCUUGUUGGUGAGGUAACGGCUCACCAAGGCUUCGAUCCGUAGCUGGUCUGAGAGGAUGAUCAGCCACACUGGGACUGAGACACGGCCCAGACUCCUACGGGAGGCAGCAGUGGGGAAUAUUGGACAAUGGGGGCAACCCUGAUCCAGCCAUGCCGCGUGCGUGAAGAAGGCCUUAGGGUUGUAAAGCGCUUUCGGCGGGGAAGAUGAUGACGGUACCCGCAGAAGAAGCUCCGGCUAACUCCGUGCCAGCAGCCGCGGUAAUACGGAGGGGGCUAGCGUUGUUCGGAAUUACUGGGCGUAAAGGGCGCGUAGGCGGAUCGUCAAGUCAGAGGUGAAAGCCCUGGGCUCAACCUGGGAACUGCCUUUGAAACUAAUGGUCUAGAGUCCGAGAGAGGAUGGCGGAAUUCCCAGUGUAGAGGUGAAAUUCGUAGAUAUUGGGAAGAACACCA
rnacentral:rRNA from 1 species